rnacentral:tRNA from 1 species
GCCUGGGUGGCUAAGUCAGUUAAGCGUCUGACUUCGGCUCAGGUCAUGAUCUCAUGGUACUUGAGUUCAAGUCUCACGUUGGGCU